UGCCAUGUUGCACUAUCAGUAACUUAACAUCAAAGUAGUAAAUAAAAGAACCUGCCUCACCAGCAGGUUUUUUU
rnacentral:sRNA from 21 species